UACAGAGGGGGCAAGCGUUGUUCGGAAUUACUGGGCGUAAAGGGCGCGUAGGCGGCCUUCUAAGUCGAACGUGAAAUCCCCGGGCUCAACCCAGGAACUGCGUCCGAUACUGGAAGGCUUGAAUCCGGGAGAGGGAUGCGGAAUUCCAGGUGUAGCGGUGAAAUGCGUAGAUAUCUGGAGGAACACCGGUGGCGAAGGCGGCAUCCUGGACCGGUUCUGACGCUGAGGCGCGAAAGCGUGGGGAGCAAACAGG
rnacentral:rRNA from 1 species